AAAUAACGUCCUGAUGGACCGCUGCCUCCUGCCAAAGGAAAGCGCUUAAAAGAAACACAACAUUUAUAGGAUGAGAAUUUAAAAUGACGUCUCUUGACACGUUGUCUCAAGACAACAACACAAAGUGUCCCAUGAGAGUUUUAGUGUUGAGGUGAAUGAGCUCUGUGUGUUUGUCCUGAUGAAGAUAAUAACGUGUGAGCUCUGCCAGCAGGUUGGUGUGAAGGUGUGAAGGUGUGGACUCUGCUAUGAAUCAGGCUGAGGACCCAGAGGACGGAGUCCCUCCCUCUGAAGCCCCUCUGUGUGGGGAACAUGACAGCCAGACCAAAGCUCAGAGGAUCCAUCAGAGACCAGGACCUGGACCUGGACCCAGCUGUGUGUCCAUGAAGAGUAACCGGUCUAUGGAGCCUCCUCCACUCUUCAAAGAUGUUGGUCCCUCUGUUGAUGCAAGGGCCCUUCAGCAGUGUCCAGUGAGGGAGGGAGAGCUCCAUGGAGGACUUGGUGAGACCUUUUGGGACUAAACCAAACUGACUGGUGAAGAAAACAGUGAGCUGAAAGACUGAGCUGUUGAUUCUCAGUGGGACCAGCAGGACCAGUAGACCUAAACCACUACAGGGAGUCAUGUGGUCCACAUCCAGACCUCACGUCAUGGACCUUUACCUUGUUUUGUUCACAUCAGCAGAGAGGAAAGUCUCCUGAACCCAGAUGUUUGUCCAUGAAGAGUGAUCGGUCUAAAGGUUGGCUGAUUGACUUCAAAGAUGGAUGCCGUUCUUAUGACCCAGAAUGUAAACACAAUGUGAGCCAGUUCCUCCACAUCAGGAUCAGCAGAGGUCACAUCUGGAGACAGCUGCAGGUUUCUGGAGUCAGAUGACUAGGAAUGAACAUGUGAUUAGAAUAAACUCAGUGCUCUGUGGACCAGCUGACGUGGUC
ensembl:lncRNA